rnacentral:sRNA from 1 species
CCGCUAUGCCCUCCGUGGGCGUUUCCUCCCUGAGCCUGGGCCACGCAGUGUCUGCGUGGCCUUUUUUUAUGUUUCA